CUAUGCAGCCUGGGUAAGAGCUCCACAGGGCGUGGAUCCUGCAGCCACCACCUGCUGCCUGGGCUCGGAGGGGUGAGGAGCGACCCUGGGGGGCAAGCAUCUGAAUCAGGAAAGCCACCUCCCAAUUGGCACUAAUUGCCUGGAUUCCGGCAGCCGCAGGAAAGAGCCAAGAGCAUGUGGCCACAGAGAUGAGCUGGUUGUGUGACAAGGGCUCAUGGACAGAGUCCGCAGCUGGGAGGCAGGAAUGAGCUGCCCGGUGGUGGAUGAUGUGCAAAAGUGACAGUCGUCUGCAUGUCUGCCCCCCCCCACCAUGGGCAUUUAAACCCUUCGGGUCCCACUGGCCGUAUACCCAGAACCCUGAGUUCUGGUUUUCUGCACCCUCAGGCAUUGAGGGAGAGCCAGUGUCUUUGUGGGUGGUGGAAACGGCCUCUACUCCCUCCUCAAGCUCCUGGUCACCAGGGAGCUGGGCUGGGUGUGACUCCCAAAUGUAUGGACUGCAGUGAACCAAUGUCACUCAAUCUCUCAGUGUGGCCUGGGAGCUCCAUGGGGAAGCCCUGGCUGUGCCCCACCCCCUUAGAAAGUUGCCAGGGUGCCCUGGGGGAGAAGAGUGGCUUAAACGCUGGAGGUCACCAGUUUUGCCCUCUCUAUUCUCCACUUCCCAGUGUGGUCACAUCUCUGGGGACAACUGAUAUACACAGUCCUCACCAGGAAAUGAUCCUUCGGCGGAUGGGGUGGGAACUCUUUAUGAAUUCUAGAGAAAUAAACUCCAUUUGUUCUUCUCUUUGCAAUUAA